UUAAGGUGGAUGAGCAUUUGACCAAAUUGCAACCCCAGAUCCUAAUUUUAUCUAUUGUCUGUUUGAAAAGUCCGGAAAGCUCUAGUGUACAUUUAUACACCUGCUAAAUUACUUCUGAACUCUGGGAAUCAAUUUAUCCCUGUUAGUGUUGUACCCACUAAUAUACUAGUACUAAAUUGCUGAAUAUGAAACGAUAAACAGAACUUUAGUGCAACUAACUGUAAGUUACAUUUCACUCUGGGAGCCAAACGUUACUUUGGUAAACUCAACGAAAGGUGAGUAGGUGCUCUCUAGCAAACUCUGAACAAAGCUUCAGGUGGGUUUUCCUAAAAUUAUGUCUGCUGUUUUAGUUAUGACCUUCAAUAGGUUUGAUUGAGCACCGAAAGCCACUCCACCAUCUGUCCAGGCAAUUUUAACUCCCUCAGCAACCCACGUCUACGUCCAAUCCCACCUGCGCCCUUAAUAUCCCUGUCACUGCUGACCCCGUCUGUGCACUACCUCCUUCCUGUCCUACAGUACUGCUUUCCUUUGAGUCACUAGUUUAGGUUUAUAUUACUCAGAUAAACAUUGAUUUUUUUUUAGAUGUUUUUUGACUGUAUGAAUUUCUUUAAUCUCAACAUUAAUAGUUGCAGACAUGACUUAAAUUCUCUUUUCUCUGCCAUAAGAUACUUUCAUGUUUUAAAGGCUUUCUGAAUUGCACACUAACAAAACACACACUGAUGACUUCACUUGAAUUUUUUUCUGAUACAGACUCUUUUCUGUCUAGUCUCUUGUAACUCAGCUCCGAUCUACUUUUUCUUCAUGUUUCCAUAUUAAUUGCUAACAGCUAUGUUGUCAUUGGAGGCUAUCUGGUAAUUAUCAGUACAACAAACUAACUUCAUGACACUUUGGCUGCCACAUUUACGUCAUUAGUCUGUUUACUUUGUGUCUACUUUGAUUAGAGAGAAAGUAUUAUCUUGAUUGUCUUAGGUGUUGUUUCAGACCAACAUAGCAUGUGUAAAGGAGACUUCAUGAAUUAUGCACAUAUAUAAGAAAGACACAUAAACACCAGAGAUGAAAGCAGCAUGCACUUAUCAUAUUUAGGACAUGUAUUUCCCUGUAUGAUAAUCAAUAAUUCAUUUUUUAUGUUUAAACUAUAAUUUGCUAACUAGAUUAGUCAAGCACCGCCCUCUCCUACACAAGCCAGAGAAUAGCCAAUUACCCCCGCCUUCAUCCUAUAAGGGUGACGGUCAACUGACUUACCCCUUCUCUACAGAACAAUCCCUGACAUGUGAUCUCUACUCUUGUUUGGGCUAAUUGCUAGAGCCAGAACGAGCAAGGAUUUGUGGCUACUCUUGAGAUGUUUUUCCACUCGGGGGAGAGAGUGUGUAAAAAUAUCGGUAACAUGGGUGUUUGGCAUCUUAGAUUAAUUAUGAUUCUGACAGUGUCAGAACUUUAUGAAAGAAGUUUUAACAUUGCUUUGCAACAUUAAAUCUGUAUUUCUUUCACAGGCAGGAACACAUGCACAUACAGUAACGUAAACAAUGAAAACUGAAAGGUUUAAUUGUAUCAGAAAAUAACAUGACUAUAAAUAUCCACAAUUAGGUCAGUGACAACCUCCUGGUUGGCAGCAUUAUAUGGUAUUAAUGGGCCGUAUCAAGCGUCGCAUGUGUUACAGCACUGACCUGUGAAACGUCAGUGCUGACGUACUCUAUAAAUCUGCAACACUUAAUGUGUCAAUGAAGGAUCGGCCUUAUUAAUUACUUUCUACAUUUGGUAACAGAUCUCUGAAACAAGGUUGUCUUGAAAUUAAUCUUGUAUAACUUGAAUUUGUGUUGACCUAUAGUUCUGUUUUAAUAUAGACAGGCUCAGGAUUAAAACGCCCCGAUAACAUUUCAAAGUUGAGUACGAGUCAAAAGUUUGAGAUGUAAGAGCACUGAGACAAUAAUUGGAGAAAUAGGAAUGCCAAACAGGAAAAUGUUUAAAGAAAAAAAAAAAACAAUCUCAGUCCAAACAGUGCCUUGGUGGGACGCAACUCAAAUCUUAAGACUGAAAGCAAGAGGAAAGGAGGAAGGGAGUUGUUUCCAGAUAAAUAUCUGGUAAUGGCUCAUAAUGACGCGUAAUGACAGACGACAGCUUCCUACUAUACACAAGGAAAGAGGGGAACAAACAUGCUGUGGCGGCAGUCUUGAUGAUUGCGUCCACAAUUUUGCAAGGCCUUGAGUAGGUGAUGUAUUUCAGAAAAGCACUUAUUUCUACACCCACUGUCCAGAGAGAAGUCAGGAGCGCCUUUAGUGUCUAAUCAUAGAGAGUUUCAUAUUUAAAAGAUAAUUUUACUUUCAGACUUUAUUUAAGGACCUUCACUUUUACAAAGUUUCCUCUGACGUCUAAGCUCCUGGAUCAAGACUGAGAAAGAAGAGAGAAGAAGCUGCGUGUAAAAAGCCCUCUUGGCCAUCUACCAAGCAA